rnacentral:rRNA from 1 species
UGCGUAGGCGGCUGGAUAAGUCACGUGUGAAAGGCCGGGGCUCAACCCCGGAUCGGCAUGUGAGACUGUUCGGCUCGAGCGUGGUAGAGGCGGGCGGAAUUCCUGGUGUAGCGGUGGAAUGCGUAGAGAUCAGGAAGAACACCGGUGGCGAAGGCGGCUCGCUGGGCCAUUGCUGGCGCUGAGGCACGAAAGCGUGGGGAGCAAACAGGAUUAGAUACCCUGGUAGUCCACGCCCUAAACGAUGGACACUAGGCGUCGGGGGGAGCGACCCUCCCGGUGCCGUCGCUAACGCAAUAAGUGUCCCGCCUGGGGAGUACGGCCGCAAGGCUGAA